AACGAACGCUGGCGGCAGGCCUAACACAUGCAAGUCGAGCGGGACCUUCGGGUCUAGCGGCGGACGGGUUAGUAACGCGUGGGAACGUGCCCAAAGGUACGGAAUAGCCUCGGGAAACUGAGAGUAAUACCGUACGUGCCCCGUACGGGGGAAAGAUUUAUCGCCUUUGGAUCGGCCCGCGUUGGAUUAGGUAGUUGGUGGGGUAAUGGCCUACCAAGCCGACGAUCCAUAGCUGGUUUGAGAGGAUGAUCAGCAACACUGGGACUGAGACACGGCCCAGACUCCUACGGGAGGCAGCAGUGGGGAAUCUUAGACAAUGGGCGCAAGCCUGAUCCAGCAAUGCCGCGUGUGUGAAGAAGGCCUGGGUUGUUAAGGCACUUUAUUC
rnacentral:rRNA from 1 species